CGGGACGUCUGCGCCGCACAUG
rnacentral:misc_RNA from 1 species